GACUCCGUAGCUCAGCUGGUAGAGCAGUAGCCUUUUAAGCUAUUGGUCGUGCGUUCGAGCCGCACCGGAGUCACAA
rnacentral:tRNA from 1 species